UAAACAGAAAGACCACAAACACUCUCACAGUAACUUUAUGCUUUUAUUGUGAAAAGAGACAGAACUCAAAACUAAACAUGACACAAGUCAACGGCAUUUCUACAAUUUCAUGAUCACAGCUUCCAUCUUUAAAGGACUGGAAGUGGAGGAAGUUUACAAUGUUCACGAGGAAUCUGUUCAAUCAUUCUGAAUUAUUUUAUACAAAGUUCAUUCAUUAGUUCAUAACAAUAAGCUGACAUAUUUCUGUAAGUGUGAUCCUGUACAGACUCAACUGAUCAGCAGUGAGAAACAGGAGGAGACUCUCCGUCCUACACAGGACUCAGAGA